CCAAAAAAAAUUUGAAAAGUCCAAGUCUGGAAGAAUGCAAAUGACGGCUGCAACUAGCUAUUUUCCUUCCACCUCAAAUGUAAAUUCAUAGCAUUAAAAGCUUUGUCUCCCAACCACCACCGUGAUGUACAGCUCUCCCUAGAUGUGGGCCCUCAUUCUUCAAUUAAAAGAAAAGUAUUUCUUCAUCCCAUGAAACCAAAUUCAUACACUUGAAAGAUACCGUCAACAACUUUGCUCUAGACGCCCCUCUCGGCAAACGUUCCUGCAACCCCUUUUUUUUUAUUGACUUUGCAAAGAGAAAUUAUUACUUCUUCAAGCAAUGCUA
rnacentral:lncRNA from 1 species